CAGAUCGGUGCUUACUUUGUGAGGGACUCCUUGGAUCUGCAAUGGUUCUGCUGCUGGAGUUUGUGGGUGAAGCAUAGGUUCUGUGUUAUAGGAGAGGUGAGUUCCCAGAGCCAUGAACGCCAUUGUUGCGACUGCUGGUUCAACUCGGCUAUGAGAGAAUGAAAGUGCCGAGUGCUUUCUUCUCCUUCAGAUUCCUGCCCACCUCCUUCCUUCGGUGUUUGGCUAGCCUUGGUUCUUUGAUGGUGACUGGAGGUCUGAUGCUGAUUACUUGGUGGAACACCAUCUGCUCUUGUGCUUGCGCCUAUGUUCUACUCUAGCAAGUUGUUUUGGAUGGAAAUAGCUCUGUUGCUCCGGGGCCC
rnacentral:misc_RNA from 1 species